CCUCUACCCUGGCCGCAGUGCCGGGAUUGCACUGUAGGCGGCCUCGGAGCAGCUUUCUGGGUGGCAAUAGAUGGGUCUGGAAGCGACCAUCCCCUCGCCAUCGCUCUGCAGCCGAACUUGGCUUCUCUGGGGUGGUAGUGGAAACGAAUUCUUUUUUCCACUUCGAGUUGAGCCUACGGUCAAAAACAAGGUUAAACACCUGCGGGCUGGCCGAAGCCUCUCAACCCCUCUUCUAGAGAACCUACUGCUGUGUUUGAGGGGACGACCUCUUUAAGGAAAAGAAUGAUUUACACUCAAGGAUGGACAAAGUUUUGGCCUUUGUAUUGGAAAGAGGAAGGGAGGGGAAAAGAGAGGGCAAGAAACAUCCAUCUGAGAGAGAAACAUCAGCCUUCCAUAUGUGCCCUGGGGGAGUGAAGCUGCAACCCAGAGACAGAGGAAGGGAAGGAGAAAGAAAAGGAGAGAAACAUCGAAGUGCAAGAGAUACAUCAAUCGGUUGCCCCUCACACGCCUCCAACAGCGGAACUGACCUGCAACUCAGGCAUGUGCCCUGACCUGGAAUUGAACCAGCAACCUUUCAGUUCACAAGUCAGUAUUCAAUCCACUGAGUGACACCAACCAAAGUUAAAGGAGAUUUUUUUAAGGCACCAUGAUUGGUACAUUUGAGCUCUGAGAUGCUCCCUAUGUUUGAAGAAGUCUGUGUUUAUACGGCACUUUCAAAGGAAAAGAGAUUGACUGUAACCAGUGAGUGAGGCAGUAUUUUGUAUAAUUGCUCAACUGAGAACUUGUUGGGUUGAUUUGAGUUGAACCUGAAGCACCUAGGAUAGCAGCAACGCCAACUUUUUGGAUGGAGUUGACUCUAGUGAGAGAACUGCAGAGAGGGUGUGUGCCAGGCCAUGAUCGGUGACAGAGCGUGAGUCCUGGGCUUCAGUGCAUGCACCAGGGAAAGAGGAGCCAGAUGACUGAGAAAAAGGAUACCAGUGUCUGUGUCUGAGAAGUUGUUGGUAGGGCACAAUAAUAGAAAUGAAUGGGCAGCUCAGGAAAUGAAGUCAAGGGGGGCCCAAAUGGAGGCAUUGCCACAGGAAAGAUGAGAAGGAUGGCAGGAAGGGCCCAGUGUUUCACCAAAGGUCACUGUUAACGUAUCUCUCUUGGUUUUAUGGCCUCAGACAAAGGGAAAGGUGAGUGAUGAUUGCCCAACUCCCUUUUCACUCUGGAGUCCUGGACACCCACUCUCUUCUACCUGCCCUCUUGCAUUGUCCUUCUUGAAUUCAUAAAGUCCUUCAGGGGCUACCUUCUUAGAAAGCUGCCCGACAGUUCCCUAAGAUCUUGUCAGCCUCGUGCUUCUAACAGUUGAGUGUACAUAAGAAUUGCUUUGAACAAUUAAUAAACAAAUUUGCUCCCCUACUCCCAAAACCAUUCUGAUUCAGCAAGUCUGGGAUGAGGGUAGGGGUGAGAAUUUGCUUUCAGAAGCUUUCAGCAGCUUCCAGAGGCUCCCGAUGGUCUGAGGUCCACACUUUGAGUGGUCCUCCCUGGAUCCUCUCAGGUAGGGCUUCUCAGUGAAAGUUAGUAAUUGAGAAGACUCAAAUGUUGGUCCUUUUGGAGGAGAUUUUGUGGAAACUAGAGUGUGAGAGGUCAAUGUUCUCUCAAGAAAAGUCACCCUUUCUCUCU